rnacentral:misc_RNA from 1 species
AAGUCGUAACAAGGUUUCCGUAGGUGAACCUGCGGAAGGAUCAUCAAUGAAAAAUCCAGCCAAACACUUGGGCAUUCUAGCCUGGUUGGUUGUCAUUUUUGACAUCAAGUAGGUCUAAGUUUUUUUAGACCAGGGAAUUGACGGAAAAAAAAUUAGACCAGAAAUUGGUCAAGGUAAACUUUCAGGUUCAAGUUUAACUCUUGACCUGAUAUUUACACUAGAAAAAAACAACUUUCGGCAACGGAUCUCUCGGCUCUCC